GACGAACGCUGGCGGCGUGCCUAACACAUGCAAGUCUAGGAGAAAGCAUCCUUCGGGGUGUGAUUAAACUGGCGAACGGGUGAGUAACGCGUAGGCUACCUGCCCUAAUCUCUGGGAUAACAUCGGGAAACCGGUAUUAAUACCAGAUGAGGCCUUCGGGUCAAAGUUUCGACGGAUUAGGAUGGGCCUGCGUCUGAUUAGUUUGUUGGUGAGGUAACGGCUCACCAAGACUGCGAUCAGUAGCUGGUCUGAGAGGACGAUCAGCCACACUGGAACUGAGACACGGUCCAG
rnacentral:rRNA from 1 species